rnacentral:rRNA from 1 species
AGAAGGCCCUCGGGUUGUAAAGCACUUUCGGUGGGAAAGAAAGUUUCAAAGUUAAUACCUUUUGAGAGUUGACGUUACCCACAAAAGAAGCACUGGCUAACUCUGUGCCAGCAGCCGCGGUAAUACAGAGAGUGCAAGCGUUAAUCGGAAUUACUGGGCGUAAAGCGCGCGUAGGUGGAUAUUUAAGUCGAAUGUGAAAGCCCUAGGCUUAACCUAGGAACUGCAUCCGAUACUUAAUAUCUAGAGUAUGGUAGAGGGAAGUGGAAUUUCCGGUGUAGCGGUGAAAUGCGUAGAUAUCGGAAAGAACACCAGUGGCGAAGGCGGCUUCCUAGACCAAUACUGACACUGAGGUGCGAAAGCGUGGGGAGCAAACAGGAUUAGAGACCCUGGUAGUCCACGCCGUCAACGAUGAGAACUAGCUGUUAAAAAGUUUACUUUCUAGUAGCAAAGCUAACGCGUUAAGUUCUCCGCCUGGGGAGUACGGCCGCAAGGUUAAAACUCAAAGAAAUUGACGGGGGCCCGCACAAGCGGUGGAGCAUGUGGUUUAAUUCGAUGCAACGCGAAAAACCUUACCUACCCUUGACAUCCUCGGAACUUGUCAGAUGAU